UUUCCUGCUCAGCCGGGGCGUCAGUCUGGGACUGGAGAACCGAGACACUGUGGACACACAGAGAAGGAGAAACACAUGCAGCGUCGCUGACCUUCAUCUGACUGAGCCAACGAGGUUUUUUAUUUUUUUAUUUUGGCAUCGCUCACUCUCCCUCUACGUUUGCCUGACUGCGUCCAGCCUCGCUCGCCCUCGUCGCAGUUUUCACGUCCACGUAAUUACAACCUGGUGUGUCAAGUCUGCGAGCUGCCGGAUGAACGAAGACAAGGCGGAUAAAAAGAAAAGAAAAGAUGGAGGGAGCGGAGCGAGAGAGUGAGGCUGCUGUGGCUCCACACUGACUUCCUCCUGGGAUGGACCCAGAAACAUCAGAAGGAAGCGGCGAGAAAAUCCCACGACUGAAACUCAAAGCAGAGCAAAGGGAGAGGAUGUUCAAUAUCCUGUGGCUGAGCUGCUCCUCCCGCCCUCGACAACAAGUAACAGAUGUGACAACUGUGGGAAAGAAGAGAAUGUCCCCUCAGAGUGCAGGAGGAGGAGGAGUCAGCUGAGGCCACGCCCUCGUUUCACCAACCUCCGCUGACCCUCGGCUGAAGUGAAGAUACAGUUGGCAGCGGGUUAAUGAGAGUCAGCAGAAUCUCCACAGUGGUCGACCGCAGUCAGUCAACG